GAGUCAUCCCUCCCACAUUUGAGGGAAAAAAGUGCUGCUUAUUGUAUCCUAAGAUGACGAUUAUCGAAUAAUUCUCCUGUCAUUGAACCUCAAACACUGUUUCAACAAGCGGUGAACAAAUAGUUGCAAGAACAACGGUUGAACCCCGGAUCCCAAAAGAUUCUCGGAGUGGACCGCCCCGUUUCUGAGACUGCCCUCGUCCUCGGGGAGAGACUGACUUGGAACAAGUGCGGAAUUUUGACCCGCACUUCGCGUGACUUGACAAACUCUUUAUAUUUAUGGAACAAAAAUCUAUCCGCGGGGUCACCCCAGCGGAGGAGCAGGUCACGAUUUCGGACCAGUUCCACCCAAGGAUUUACCCGGGUGUUUGACACGUCGAGGAAGUUCUGCAUCAGCCAGGAGUACAGUUUCAACCGUUGACAAGUGAACCCCUUGUUG